rnacentral:rRNA from 1 species
UACGGGGGGGGCAAGCGUUGUUCGGAAUUACUGGGCGUAAAGGGCUCGUAGGCGGCCAACUAAGUCAGACGUGAAAUCCCUCGGCUUAACCGGGGAACUGCGUCUGAUACUGGAUGGCUAGAGGUUGGGAGAGGGAUGCGGAAUUCCAGGUGUAGCGGUGAAAUGCGUAGAUAUCUGGAGGAACACCGGUGGCGAAGGCGGCAUCCUGGACCAUAACUGACACUGAGAGACGAAAGCCAGGGGAGCAAACGGG